rnacentral:rRNA from 1 species
CCUACGGGAGGCAGCAGUCGAGAAUCAUUCACAAUGGGGGAAACCCUGAUGGGGCGACGCCGCGUGGGGGAAUGAAGGUCUGCGGAUGGUAAACCCCUGUCAUGGGGGAGAAAAGUAAAAAGAGAGUACCACAAGAGGAAGAGACGGCUAACUCUGUGCAAGCAGCCGCGGUAAGACAGAGGUCUCAAGCGGUGUUCGGAAUCACUGGGCGUAAAGAGUGCGUAGGCGGUUUCGUAAGUCGUGUGUGAAAGGCGCGGGCUCCACCCGCGGACGGCACAUGAUACUGCGAGACUAGAGUACUGGAGGGGGAACCGGUAUUCUCGGUGUCGCCGUGCACUGCGUCGCUCUCGAGAG